CCUACGGGGGGCUGCAGUGGGGAAUCUUGCGCAAUGGGCGAAAGCCUGACGCAGCAACGCCGCGUGGGGGAUGAAGGCUCUCGGGUUGUAAACCCCUUUCAGCAGGGACGCGGUACCUGCAGAAGAAGCCCCGGCCAACUACGUGCCAGCAGCCGCGGUAACACGUAGGGGGCAAGCGUUGUCCGGAUUUAUUGGGCGUAAAGAGCUCGUAGGCGGUUCCGUAAGUCAGGUGUGAAACCUCCAGGCUCAACCUGGAGACGCCACCUGAUACUGCGGGACUGGAGUCCGGUAGGGGAGCGUGGAAUUCCUGGUGUAGCGGUGAAAUGCGCAGAUAUCAGGAGGAACACCAGCGGCGAAGGCGGCGCUCUGGGCCGGACUGACGCUGAGGAGCGAAAGCGUGGGUAGCAAACAGGAUUAGAUACCCUGGUAGUC
rnacentral:rRNA from 1 species